rnacentral:rRNA from 1 species
UACAGAGGUCCCAAGCGUUGUUCGGAUUCACUGGGCGUAAAGGGUGCGUAGGUGGCAAGGUAAGUUUGAUGUGAAAUCUCCGGGCUUAACCCGGAAACUGCAUUGAAUACUAUCUUGCUUGAGGGUUGGAGGGGGGACUGGAAUUCUUGGUGUAGCAGUGAAAUGCGUAGAUAUCAAGAGGAACACCAGUGGCGAA